GUGGGGAAUAUUGGACAAUGGGCGAAAGCCUGAUCCAGCCAUGCCGCGUGUGUGAAGAAGGUCUUCGGAUUGUAAAGCACUUUAAGUUGGGAGGAAGGGCAGUAAGUUAAUACCUUGCUGUUUUGACGUUACCAACAGAAUAAGCACCGGCUAACUUCGUGCCAGCAGCCGCGGUAAUACGAAGGGUGCAAGCGUUAAUCGGAAUUACUGGGCGUAAAGCGCGCGUAGGUGGUUCAGCAAGUUGGAGGUGAAAUCCCCGGGCUCAACCUGGGAACUGCCUCCAAAACUACUGAGCUAGAGUACGGUAGAGGGUAGUGGAAUUUCCUGUGUAGCGGUGAAAUGCGUAGAUAUAGGAAGGAACACCAGUGGCGAAGGCGACUACCUGGACUGAUACUGACACUGAGGUGCGAAAGCGUGGGGAGCAAACAGGAUUAGAUACCCUAGUGUCC
rnacentral:rRNA from 1 species